GAUGAACGCUGGCGGCGUGCCUAAUACAUGCAAGUCGAGCGAAUGGAUUAAGAGCUUGCUCUUAUGAAGUUAGCGGCGGACGGGUGAGUAACACGUGGGUAACCUGCCCAUAAGACUGGGAUAACUCCGGGAAACCGGGGCUAAUACCGGAUAACAUUUUGAACCGCAUGGUUCGAAAUUGAAAGGCGGCUUCGGCUGUCACUUAUGGAUGGACCCGCGUCGCAUUAGCUAGUUGGUGAGGUAACGGCUCACCAAGGCAACGAUGCGUAGCCGACCGGAGAGGGUGAUCGGCCACACUGGGACUUAGACACUGCCAAGACUUCUACGGGAGGCAGCAGUAGGGAAUCUUCCGCAAUGGACGAAAGUCUGACGGAGCAACGCCGCGUGAGUGAUGAAGGCUUUCGGGUCGUAAAACUCUGUUGUUAGGGAAGAACAAGUGCUAGUUGAAUAAGCUGGCACCUUGACGGUACCUAACCAGAAAGCCACGGCUAACUACGUGCCAGCAGCCGCCGUAA
rnacentral:rRNA from 1 species